rnacentral:rRNA from 1 species
GAUCAUGGCUCAGGAUGAACGCUGGCGGCGUGCCUAACACAUGCAAGUCGAACGGAGUCGAUUUGGAAAAUCCUUCGGGAUUGGAAUUCUCGACUUAGUGGCGGACGGGUGAGUAACGCGUGAGCAAUCUGCCUUUAAGAGGGGGAUAACAGUCGGAAACGGCUGCUAAUACCGCAUAAAGCAUCAAAUUCGCAUGUUUUUGAUGCCAAAGGAGCAAUCCGCUUUUAG